AGAAAUCUGUGUUUGAAGAUGGAAGCAGAGUGUCCUUUGCUUCACAUCAGCAACAACAAAAAGUAAGGUAGAGAGUGAUAGAGGAAGGCCCUCACCCUGUGGUCUUCAGCCUCACAGAAGCUACAGAAGCGUAUGCAUAUGCUUACGUGCACACAUAUACAAAAGACAGACUGAAACAUACACACAAACACACAUAAGAGAAAAUGCACAACAGUGAAAAAUUUAAACAAAAUUGCCAACCAAUAUUCAGAGCAAAUUUUCUCUAGUUUUCAAUACAUACAUGUAUCCUCCUUAAGCACAUACUCAUUUUAUAUAUUAAAAUAUACAUUCAGACACAUACAAAUUGAUAUUGAAAUUUACACAGAGAAUGUCAGGGAAAUUUCCAGUAGACACAUAGACUAUUGGUACAUGCAAAAACACUGGGUAGAAAUUUAGAAACUGGGAUCCAGACAUAGCCCAGUUAAUAAGUCACCAUGAGGUGACUCAGGGCAUCCCUCCUUGGGAGGUGCCUUUAGGCUUUAUUGCCAGAAGUCAAGUCCAGAACUCCCUGAUGUGUACACCUGCUUCUGUCACAAUGGAGCCUCAGGUCACCUUACUGUUGGCACCUUCACUUGGGCUCUUCUCACCCUGGGAAUCGCAGGCAAACUGGCUCAACCAUUCUAAAUCCUAGUUUCUUCUGAGACAGCUGGGAGUAAGGGUGAUAAAUAUCACAGACCUGUUACAUCAUCAUCACCACAGCCAAUGGCCUCUCUCCUACUGGAGACUGUCUGAGGACUCAUGCACCUGCUUUCAUGCUGCUGCAUGUCUAAAAACUCUUCCUACAGUGACAAACAGUGUACAUAACAAGUUGAGAAGGAACCUGAUUGAGGACUGAUACUUGAAGACACCUGUGUUUCCAGAUCUUCUGAAGAAGAGGGCCCUCUGAAGAGACAGGAUAAACUCAGCAAAGAGAAAAGCCACUGUGCUGCAUUACGUGAGGAAACUAUCAGACAGGAAGGAGAGAGGACACAACAGCAGCUCAAACAUCAAGCGUGGGUUAUACAACGAUGGAAACGAGCAUCACGUCAGCCCCUUGGCAAGCACACCCACAACCCAGACAAGCAUACAUCCACCCUUCUCCUUCAGCCCCACCCCCACUCUCAUAAGCUCCUUAUGGAAUUGGACAUGGCAAAUGGCUAACAGCUUACACUCCUAUCACCAUCAUAGUAACAGAGAAAUUGAUUCUCAGAAGGAAAAUCGCUUGUAAGAGAGAGGGGAAAAAAAGGAUUGGA